ACUAGCUUCCCGGAGCCCAGCCAGCGCCGGUGGCGGCGGCGGCGGCGGCAGAGGCGCGGGCAGCACCGGCCCGGGGGCGCACCCCGGCCCGACCCUCUACCUCCCGCAGGGGUCCCCUCUCCGCUUCACGCACCCCGCUGGGCACUCCAGCGGCCCCCCGAGCGGGAGCGGCUCCCUCUUUGCCGUUCGCCGGGGCGCUGGCGCCCACCCCCCUCCUCCCUCCCCCCUCCCCCCCGACAUCCCGGAACAAAUAAAUAAAUAAGGCGCGCGAGAGAGGCCAACACGUCGCGGAGGGAGAUGUUGUUAUUUUUUGCUGUUGUGCGUCCCUGACGUCACAUCCACCUGCUGGGUAAACAACCGGGCUCCCAGAAAAAAAAAAUCGCAAUUGCCAAAGAAUGGGGGGGGGGGUUGGGGGGAGGGAUCCAGGGAGGGGGAAGUGAGGGGCGUCCAGGCAGGAUUGGAAAGAGGAGAGGGAGGCAGAGCCCCGCGGACCAGAGAGAGGAAGGGAACGCCAGAGCAGUCCCUGGCAACAGAGGGAUCUGGCAGGAAAGACCUGGAAAAUAAGGGGCAGGGGGGCGGAGGGGGAGAUUCCUCAGGAGAUGGGAAAUGGGGGGCCCAUUCAGACAGCGGAAAAAACGAGAAGGGAGAGUGUUAACUAGGGACGAAGAUGGGAAUGCGAUGGCUAUUUGCUUGGAUUCUGAGCUAAAAAUAUGAAAGGGAGGGGAGAGGACAGGCUAGAAUGUGAGUUUCCUCCAGUUAAAAGUGAAAGUGUUUUGCCAUCAGUGACAGUUGAAGGAGAGCGGGGUGGGAGGUGGUGUUUUCAACCCCCUUUCUCCCUCUCUCCCGUCCUCCCUCGGUCUCUCCUCUUUCUUUCUGCACUUUGUCCAAUGAAAGAAGGCGAGUUCGGGAGGUGAAAGUUCAGCAGAAGGACAAACCCCUGUUUGCAAGGAAACAGAAACCCCGCCAGCCAGCGAGGGGUUUUCUCCCCUGUUUCUCGGAAUCAGGAGAGUGUGAAUGUGGGACGAGCUUCUGCCCCCUUGUCAGAGCCACUGCAGGAAUGUGCAAUCGAGUCCACUUUGGGGGAAGGUGGCUGCAUCAGGAACUGUGUUCUUGCCACGACUCCUCUUAGGAAAACGCCUGGGGGCUAGCAUGUCAGUCCGUUGUUUAACACAAAUUACCUGCUCUCCCAGUGAUCAGUCACGUGCAAAAAGCUUUGUCCAAUUCUUUGAAAAGGUGAGAUUUUUUUUUUUCUUUUUGCGGUUUUUGAAGUUUGGUUGAAUUUAGAAAUUCGAAGGAAUAAACUAAGAGCCUGAAUUAAAUGUUUUGAAAUAUACAUACAUAAAACAAAAGACACUAGUAUUUCUUUCACUUUUAUCAAUACGCAUAGAGAAGGAAGCAGAGUAUGUGUUUCCAAAACGUGACUUGGAAAGCUGUAAGACCUCUAUGUCUUGUUGUUGUUGUUGUUGUUGUUGUUAACAGAAGUAAAUUUUUUCAGACCCACCACCACAGAAGUGGCCAGACUCCCAAACCAGCAUUUCCAGCUACUGGCUGGCUGGUGUACACCAGGCCAAUUCUUUAUGAGAAUAUAUUAAAAGUCACCCCUGUGGAUUCCUACAAAGUACUUCCCCUUGCGGGGAGGGGAGAGGCUUACUGUCCCUUUGGUCUUGAGACCAGCACAGUUGUAGAUAAUAUCCUGAAAAGGUUAUUAUUAAAUUCUUUCGCGUAAUGCCCCUUUACAAAUAUUGUUAAACAUUAAUUUACAGAAGAACUUAAAUCUUAAUUUCAAGGGUGGCAUAAGACUAUCGCUUUGAAAUUGUAUCUUUCGCAAGUUAAAAAAAAAAAAUAACAAAGCCAUUCGCUGAUGCUACAGAAUAAAAGAAAGGGAGGCUGCUAAGGUAAUUUCAGCCUGGUAGAAUUCACAUUGCAUGCAUGCUGCAUAAAGUUCCAUGCUAUCCAGAUAAGACUAUUCACUGAAUCUUUUAGACUAGAAUCUAGACCAAUAAAAUGCAUUUUAGUUUGUAUGGAAUGUCCUAGCUUCCUAGAGGCUAGGGUUCGACGUCUUGUUUGUCAAGACAUAAAGGGAUUAAUGACAUACCCACUGUGUGCUAGACCACAGAGUGGGCACAGAGGGAUGAAAAAAUAAAAAUUCCUGCCCUUGAGGAGCUCACAGUCUAAGCUGUCAAUAAUAACAUCUAACAUUUAUUAAAUACUAUGAUCUAGGCACUGAACUAAAAGCUUUAUGUCAACUCAGUUAAUACUGCCAACAACUCUUUGACAUCACUGGAAAUUCCAUAUGCUGAAUUCACACGGAAUUAAGUGGAAAUCUACAAAGUAGCCAGUCUACUGGUUCUGUAGUGGUCAACCUAUUAAAAAUGGUUUUUAAUUUCUAAAGUACUUUAUGCCAAAUAUAACAUGUUUAUGGUAUAUGCCUGACUGUAGAAUUAUAACUCAGGGGAAUAACGACUUAUUUAAAUGUAACAGAUCUAUUCAUAGUCUGUAAAGAACAAUUCAUCCUCUGAUCUUGUUUUUCAGAUUAAGCAGUGUGUUUAUUAAAAAUUAUUAUCAUCGCAAUACUAAAAAGAUCUUUAGAUUGCUGCUAAUCUGAUUCUGCAUUUUAACUGCCUUAAAUUCUACAUUCACUUGCAAGUGGGGGCCACAGUCAGGUUGGCAACAAGUUUUGCAGACAAAAGGAAAUCCUGGUUGUAAAUCCCAUGAUAUAUUGUACUCAAUUUUGUAUGAUACUGUCUAAUGUGCUGUGCUGCCUUAUUAAAGAACUCGAUGUCCAUUUGGUUUACAUUAGAGGGAAACUUAACUGCAGCUUAACAUAUUGUUCAUUUUCAACACUGUCACGUUACAUUCGUGGGGGGCAGAUUUUAAUUUCUUUAUCAGUAAUCAACUGGAAGUUUCUUUUUGUUAAAUUAAAGCAAGAAAGGUUUUAAAAUAAAGGGCAUGGGGGUAGGACGCCACCUUUUGGUGAUAAAACAAAUAGAAAUCCCUUCUGAAAACAGAUGUUCCUGACAUAAUUUUAUUUUUAAUUACACCAAGGCAAAGGUGCUUGUCCCCAUUUCGUUAUAUUUUAAGUAACAGGAGAAAAAAAAAACCAAUGUAAAUGCAAAAUUAGCAAAUUAUAGUUAACUGCAGCCAAAAUUUUCCCAAACGUAUCAGAAUAUGUUAGUCCCCUGUCACAUUACUGUUGAUUGUAUACACCAAACAUGAGCUUCAUUCACCAAAUACCAUGUCACUAAAUAUAUGUACAUUUGGGGAACAGAAACUGGAGUGGACAUUUACCACCUGACGACGUACCUGAAUGCUCUUGUAAGUUUUGAGUUGAACAAAAACUAAAACCACUUAAUUUAGUGUUUCUUUAACCACAGUUA
rnacentral:lncRNA from 1 species